rnacentral:rRNA from 1 species
UACGUAGGCAGCAAGCGUUGUUCGGAGUUACUGGGCGUAAAGGGUGCGUAGGCGGCCUUAUAAGUAUGGUGUGAAAUCUCCCGGCUUAACUGGGAGGGUGCGCUAUAGACUGUGGGGCUAGAGUGUGGGAGAGGAAAGUGGAAUUCCUGGUGUAGCGGUGAAAUGCGUAGAUAUCAGGAGGAACACCGGUGGUGUAAACGGCUCUCUGGACCGUAACUGACGCUGAGACACGAAAGCGUGGGUAGCAAACAGG